rnacentral:lncRNA from 1 species
GUUGGUCAUUAAGCGCCUGGCCCUCCAGCUGGCCAGAGUUGGGGAAGAGGGAGAAGACCAUGCUGUAUACUCGGCAGUGGUGCCCAUGGUAUUUCCUUCCAGACUUUCCUUCAAGCUACCUCAAAAUUAAGAGAUGUCCAAAAGGAUCACCUAGAUAGGAUGGAAGAAGUUUCCUGUAACAGAAUGAUUUCAGGGAACAUUUAUUAGGAUUGAUGAGCUAACUAUUUCAUCAGUGCUACUGGGAUGCGCACUUUAAAGGAGAACUUAGAAUUGUUUCAGGCUAAUGGAAGGUCUAGCCCACUAUAGGUGAAUGUGAAAACUGCCUGGCAAACCCUAACUCUGCUACUUACUAGAUGUGUGGCUGCAGGCAGGUUUUCUAAUCUUUUUACUUCUCUUUAUUCCUCAUUUUUCUUGUCUGUUAAAUGGGGAUGAUAACAGUACCUAGCUCACUGCACUGUUACUAGAUUAGGAGUGAAUACCUAUCAAGGGCCUUGCAUAGAGGCAGCAAAUAUUAGUUGUUGUUACUAGAUCAGGUUGCUGGAGGGGAGGAAGCAAAAACAGCCAUCUCCUUUUAAGUUUUUGUAAGGUGGAGUGUUACAGUGUGGCUCUAGCAACACAGGAAAACUGGUCUUUGGGCAGGGGACAGUGUUACAGGUAAAACCAGGUAGGUCUGAAUGUUUUCAAGUGAGCCAGAAUAACCUGCCACGUUCAUUCUUUGGUUGAUCUUCUCUGCCAAAUUUCUAACCAAAGACUCUUACUUUUAGGUUUUAUUUUUCUUUAACACUAGGAAGGAGGAGGUGUGUAAAGCCUGGCUUAAAUGGUCUUUUCUAACCCAUUUGGUUUCAGCUAGUGACAAAAAAGGGGGGUUGCAGAACUUGAAGUGAGUUGGGUCUGGAAUUUCUUGGUGAAGCCUGACAGAAUGUAAUUUUCUGGGAGACAUAAAAACAUCAAAUGUGAGAGGUGCACAAAAAGUAAAGGUGAUUUUACAUAAUAGCAUGCUGCAGUGGGAACCACCCCAUAGCCACUAGGAUUCUCUAAGAAGCAUCUUUCAAGGGGAAAAUGAAUAACCUAGAAAUGACAAGGUUUUGUUUUUGAAAAAAGAAGAGGGGUGGAGAGACAGGAGACUGUUGGUGAUUUGGAUUUUUUUUUGGUUAAGAAACAUGGAAAACAAGAUUUUCCAUAGAAGGGUGUAUAAAAGGCUCUCACCAAGUAGGAGUCCAAAUGUGUGUGGCACACCCCUAGUGAGCUUCUCAGAGGAAGAAGAGGAGACAGUCCCAGAGUGAAGUGUUUUUGUAUUGGGCAGAAACACUGUGUCAACUACUGGGGCAAACCGGCUUGUCUUUGGAACGGGAACAAGACUCACCAUCAUUCCCCGUAAGUCCUUUGCCACUUGAGAAAAAGCUCUUAAUCUAUAAUGGCCAGCUCUCACCUCCCAGACACCUAAUGAAUUUCUAAAUGAGUUCCUGUGUAUUAACCUGAUAAGACUCUCCAAGGAGAAGGUCACCCUUCUCUCUGCAGCUCUAAAUGUAAGUCGUGUUGUAAAAAGAAAAGGAAAAAAAAAAAAAAAAAAAAA